rnacentral:rRNA from 1 species
UACGUAGGGUGCGAGCGUUGUCCGGAAUUAUUGGGCGUAAAGGGCUCGUAGGCGGUCUGUCACGUCGGGAGUGAAAACUCAGGGCUUAACCCUGAGCCUGCUUCCGAUACGGGCAGACUAGAGGUAUGCAGGGGAGAAUGGAAUUCCUGGUGUAGCGGUGAAAUGCGCAGAUAUCAGGAGGAACACCGGUGGCGAAGGCGGUUCUCUGGGCAUUACCUGACGCUGAGGAGCGAAAGUGUGGGGAGCGAAC